CAUACAGCAGCAGGAAGAAAUGUCUCUCUCUUCUAAUUAGUGCUCACUGCCGAUCCUAAUUCAGGACGGACGGUAGGAGCGCUCUUUAUCUGUCAUUACUCAGGCUGAUAAGCAAUCUCAGUGUAAACAGUCACACACUGAAUCGCAGCCUGUCUUAAAAGGAGACACAGCAGGAGAGUGACUUCUACACUGCAGAGGACUACAUCCCUCCCUCUACUGAACAUGCAGUGGCCCAGGUGGCUGAAGAGUUGGCUCUGCUGCUAGAGCCCAACGCUGAUAUCCAAUGAUGCGGGGCUGGUGAUGGAAAAUCCGUCGCCAUUCACUUUCAAGUCAGAUAAAGGUCCGAGGCACAGCCAGGGCAGCCAGAGGAACGGACGGAACCGGAAAAGAGAGACCAAGCCGAACCACAGCCCCAAAGAGAGGAGUGGGAGCGAAUGGACACCACUAGCGGACCCCCCUAAUCAGGUGAACCGAGGGAAAAGCGGAACAAGAGAAAGCCCAGUGAUCAGUCCGACGAGUAAGCCCCCUCCAGAAAUGGAGAAUAGGGGCGGAUCGAAUGAAGCUGAUCCGCCUGGCCUGCUCUCUGUCCCUGGGCAGCAGGUCAACACCCCAGAGGAUCCAGGUGGAGCCGCGGCAUCAAAAAAGAGGAGAGACUGGUCAUCUGUGGUGAAGGAAAGCCGAAGGGGGAAGCCAACUGGGGGACCAGUGGCGGAUUCUGAAGGCAGCCAACAGAGUCUCUCUUCUCACCCAAGUGGUGAUACUGAGGCCACAAAAUAUACAGUGCCGAAACUGUUUUCAAUGAGACCUCUGCCCCGGAAAGGGAGAGGGAUGACGCCAUGGCUCUGAGACCUGAUGUAGCGUCCGUGAGCUCGGUGUGGCAGCUAACUCUGGAAGGUUGAGCGAUGGUAGCUCCUCUCCUACAGGAUUGAUAAAUACCGUAACAUCUGGGGCACUAGGUGGUUAAGAAAGUGGAUGCGAGUACUCUGGCCCUGCUGAUGCUGUCUGAAGCUGUGCCUAGGUAAGAUAAUGAAAACUCCCUUUUUAAUCUUUUAUGAUGGCUAUUUUAAAAGGCAUUUCCCUGAACACCAGAAGCGUAAAUUCCAGAUCCAGGAGAAUUGCCCUUUUUAAUUAUUUAUCAAUAUUUUCUGCUUCGGUGUUCUUUUUACAGGAGUGCU